rnacentral:rRNA from 1 species
CGCCUAACACAUGCCAAGUCGAGCGGUUAGUAUUCUUUAUGGAUGCUAAUAGCGGCGGACGGGUGAGUAACGCGUAGGAAUCUGCCUUAGAGUGGGGGAUAACACGGGGAAACUCGUGCUAAUACCGCAUAUAGCCUGAGGGUGAAAGGGUGCGUAAGCACUUGCUUUAAGAGGAGCCUGCGUUGGAUUAGCUAGUUGGUGGGGUAAAGGCCCACCAAGGCGAUGAUCCAUAGCUGGUCUGAGAGGACGGACAGCCACACUGGGACUGAGACACGGCCCAGACUCCUACGGGAGGCAGCAGUGGGGAAUAUUGGACAAUGGGGGCAACCCUGAUCCAGCGAUGCCGCGUGUGUGAAGAAGCCCUGCGGGUUGUAAAGCCC